UGUCCUUGACUCAUGCAUGUGUUACAAUGUGCAGCAGAAAAUUCAGGUGCUGAUCAACAGUGCAAUAUGGGAUAAAGAAGGAAAUUCUGGCAACAUAUGGGAGAGAUUUAGGCUGUGAAGAGGUGGGAAGUCCUGUCUCAGGAAGAUGUCUUGUAUGCAAGCUACUGCAAUGGGCAAGUCUUGCCCAGCAACUUCCAGGAUGGUUUCACUGGGCCCAUAGCACUCAUGAAGAACAGAGGAGUAUUUCCAGCAGCUCCUUGAAGGCAGACAUUUGUGCCAAUUCCAGACUGCUCCAGAUGUGUCACCAGUCUGCAGAGGCUUGGCUCUGGAGAUAGGGGUCUGCUUGCCAAUGUGCAGCCUUCCCAGUGCUUUCAGACCCAAGGGUCAAGUUCCUGCUGCCACACUCUCAUCCCUGGCUGUGCUGCCAGAUGUGUUGCAGGAUGAAGGGCAGACAUGCUGGAUUUCUUCUUGAGGAGCUGGGAAAAAUGAACGGGCUAAUAGAAACCGUGAGACUGAGAAGGGCUGCUACUGCAGGUUGAAAAGACAGAUGCAAUGGAGAAACUUCUUUCAACUCCUCAAUUCAGCAAGUCUUUGAUUCGAGAGCUUUGUUCACAUCCAGAGCAGCCGGAAGAGAACAGUCACCUUGUAUUUUUGUACCUGAUGAGAAAACUCCAGAUUGUGUGUGUGCAUUGGGACAGUUCAAUGUCUGUCUAUUCCAACUUCAAAGAGGCUUUCAAUGCUCUUUGAGAUGUAGGGUGUGAGGAAGGGUGAGAAUUGCUAAUGCUAGCCCCAUCCUCAUUAAAUCUUUGCCCUCUCUGGAGCAAGCAUGCAAGUGGAGAGAAUAGAUGAUAUGCAUGAGCAACUGAGCAUCUGUGAUCUCAUGACCUUUGACUGUUGUAUUAUGGGAAAUGUAUUCUCUGGUUGCUAUGCUUUUCUAAUUCAUUUGUAUUUUCCUUCAGUGACUCCCUUGUAUUUUCUUUGGUGCUUCUGCGUAACGGUUUCAAGGAAGCACAGAUAUCUCCAAGUUAAGCAUGCAUACAAUAGCCUUAAUUAAAUGUUUGUGGGUAUCCCACAGUAAAGCAGGGGAAAGGGAAAGCAAACAGUUCUGUACUUACUUGUACCUAUCCCUUCUGAGCCCUGGCUUGGGUGGAGGCAUCAGCACUAUUGCCAUUUAAGCCUAUUUCUAAGCUGUUGUGAAAUGAAGGGCACCAGGUCCUGCUGCUCUGCAUGCAAGCACUUCAGGCAUUUCACUCUCAUAAAAAAGCUACAGGUCACCUGUGAAAGGUACAAUGCUAAGAUAUUUUAGACUAGGCUAGAGGAAAUAAAAAAUAAACUAAGGGAAACAAUUCUUAGCUCCACUUACAAAAAUUGAAGACUAAGAUUAAAAAUACCCUUAACCCUUCCUUAAAAUACACUGAGAUGCUAUUGGAAGAGUAGCAUAAAAGCAAAGAUUUUUGUCUUCUUCGAUAUUCUGAUAUUAAUAUUUUCUAUUCUCUGUGCUAUUAGCACAAUCUUACUCUUGAUGCACCUUUCAGAGUGAAAUAAUUAUUAUUAUUGUUAUUAUUUUAUAUGGGAUCUUCGCUUCUUUUACAAGCAGUUAACUACAUUUUUCUUAUGUAUAGAAGAAAGCUGUGAAGAAAUUUGUUUUCAUUUCAGGCAUUUAAAAUAAAUAUACAUGAAGUAAAUGAAAUUUGGAAGGAGAACUUUCAUCAUGCAAAGAUGGAGGAA